UACGUAGGGGGCAAGCGUUGUCCGGAAUCAUUGGGCGUAAAGCGCGCGUAGGCGGCCCGAUAAGUCCGCUGUGAAAGUCAAAGGCUCAACCUUUGAAUGCCGGUGGAUACUGUCGGGCUAGAGUCCGGAAGAGGCGAGUGGAACUCCUGGUGUAGCGGUGGAAUGCGCAGAUAUCAGGAAGAACACCAAUAGCGAAGGCAGCUCGCUGGGACGGUACUGACGCUAAGGCGCGAAAGCGUGGGGAGCAAACAGG
rnacentral:rRNA from 1 species